AUUUACUCUAAUGUUGAAACCGACAUCAUAGAGUUGUCCCUGCCGAACGAAAAUCGCCUACCUGUACCGUGCGUUCGUAAGACGGGGCCAGCACGGCAUGCAGGUGUGCCGUCCUCUAGAUUCUAGAAGCCCAGAAAGAAGCCAACCCAACCUUCUUCCCUAGAACCAAAGAUAUUAUUAGACGACGCGUGAUGUUACGCCACUGUUUAUUCAGCACUACGCCGCGGUUUCUAACAUAAAAUCGAAAUACUAUUUAAACUGUUAUAAUUUAAUCUACACGUGCGAAUAAUAAUAACAAUCGUACCUAUAAUAACUACGAUACAUUAAUAACACGAUCAGGCACGCGUGUACAGAAACCAAUGAAUCCCCGGGGGAAUUUUAAUUGCAGUGCACGAUGCUUUAGAAGUAGCGUUUUUCAAAUUUCGGGGGAUGAACCCCUUAUGGCCCUCUGUGUACGUCCCGGAAAAUUAACAUGGAAUAACUUCGCGUAAGGCGUUUGCGAAUAAUAUACCUACCGCAAAAGUAUCGAGAAAAUGGUUAAACAACAGAUUAACGGACUAAUUUACGCGUGGUUGAGUACCUACUUAGUACCUAAAUACAUUAUGUAUAAUAUGAGUGUAUACAACGUAUGAAACUGUGUUUUUUUUUUUUUUGUGGAUUACAAAAUAAUGAAGAAGGUAAAUUUGAAGUCCGGACGAAUAACGAGUUAAACACGAAACCACCCAGACAACGUUGAGCCGAUAGAAUCGAGGAUGA